CCUACGGGUGGCAGCAGUGAGGAAUAUUGGUCAAUGGGCGCGAGCCUGAACCAGCCAAGUAGCGUGAAGGAUGACGGCCCUACGGGUUGUAAACUUCUUUUAUAAAGGAAUAAAGUGAGGCAGGUGUGCCUUUUUGUAGGUACGUUAUGAAUAAGGAUCGGCUAACUCCGUGCCAGCAGCCGCGGUAAUACGGAGGAUCCGAGCGUUAUCCGGAUUUAGUGGGUUUAAAGGGAGCGUAGUUGGGUUGUUAAGUCAGUUGUGACAGUUUGCGGCUCAACCGUAAAAUGGCACUUGUUACUGGCAGUCUUGUGUACAGUUGAUGUAGGCGGAUUUCGUUUUGUCGCGG
rnacentral:rRNA from 1 species